GUUCCUGUGGUUGAAGUAACAACGGCGGCUUUUCAGGCCGUAGACCUUGGAGAAAAGCCAAGCGGGAAUU